rnacentral:rRNA from 1 species
GGGAACUCAAAGGAGACUGCCAGUGAUAAACUGGAGGAAGGUGGGGAUGACGUCAAGUCAUCAUGGCCCUUACGACCAGGGCUACACACGUGCUACAAUGGCGCAUACAAAGAGAAGCGACCUCGCGAGAGCAAGCGGACCUCAUAAAGUGCGUCGUAGUCCGGAUUGGAGUCUGCAACUCGACUCCAUGAAGUCGGAAUCGCUAGUAAUCGUGGAUCAGAAUGCCACGGUGAAUACGUUCCCGGGCCUUGUACACACCGCCCGUCACACCAUGGGAGUGGGUUGCAAAAGAAGUAGGUAGCUUAACCUUCGGGAGGGCGCUUACCACUUUGUGAUUCAUGACUGGGGUGAAGUCGUAACAAGGUAACCGUAGGGGAACCUGCGGUUGGAUCACCUCCUUACCUGAAAGAAGC